GGGAUAACCCAAUUUUUCCGUCUCAAACCCAAUUUUUCCCUCUCAAACCCUCACCUCACGGCUCAUCUUUCACUCAGCCGCACACACUCACUCACUUUCUCUCUCGAGAACACCUGAGAAGUUUUGUGAUAAAAACAAUUUGGGGAUUCGAAUUGGGACUCUAGGGUUCAUUUCUCAUCAGCCACAAAAUUGAAGAAGAAGAAAAGUAAGGAGAGAGAGGCGUGCAGCUGAAGAGCUCCUGUCGAUGGCGCAGCGGGGUUGGGCGGGCUCCUGUUCUCAGCCAUCUCUCUUUCUCGUUGGGGUUCAACGGAGCGAGGCUUGGUAUAUAUGGCUGAGCUCGUCUUCCUAGUGAGGCUCUGUGAAGGGUGAUGCAUGGACGACUUUUGUUGGGGUUUAGAGAAACAAAGCUCAACACUUGGAGAGAUGAGAAUUGCUUCCAUGGCCACUACUUCAACUUUUUCAAUAUCACCGCUUUUUGGAAAAUACAAGCAUGGCUAGCUCUCUUGGAACAUAUUUCUUAUCCCAAAAUUCCUUGAUCUUUUUAGAUGUGCUUAUAGUCUACAGGCUAAAACUCUACUUAAAGGAUAUUUAAGAGAACCAAGAUAAUUAUAUAAGAGAACCAAGGUAACAAGAAAUUAUUCUUCAAGUUGUUGGGUAUUAUUUUCGUGCUUGCUUGUAAGCAUUAUGUACAUUAGGGGUUUGAUGUAUUAUUUACAUUAAGAAUAAUGAAUUUUUAUUGAGAAUUAUUUAGUCUCACGAGGAUUUGAUGUAUUAUAUACAUUUUAAUUGUAUGAAUAAAUGUUGUAUGUAUAUGAAUUUUUAUUAUGAUAAAUAUAAUUUUGUUUACAA